rnacentral:rRNA from 1 species
UACUACUAAACUGCGAAUGGCUCGGUAUAACAGUAAUAAUCUGUUCGGUGAUACAUUUACCUAGUCGGAUAUCCCUAGGAAUUCUAGAGCUAAUACGUGCCAAAACACGCGUGCGGGUGUUUCUUUCGGGAGGCAGUUGCGUUGCGUGGUGCUUGUUAGAUAGAAACCAGACCUCCUUUGGGGGGUUUUUGGUGAUUCAUUGCAAUCUUUCUGAUCGCAUGCCCUUUCGGGGGCGGCGACACACCGUUUGAAUUUCUGACCUAUCAAGUUUUGAUGGUAAGGUCGUGUCUUACCAUGCUAGUGACGGGUGACGGGGAAUUUGGGUUUGGUUCCGGAGAGGGAGCCUGAGAAACGGCUACCACAUCCAAGGAAGGCAGCAGGCGCGCAAAUUACCCAAUACUAAUUCAGUGAGGUAGUGACAAAGAGUAUCAAUAGAGGGGCCAUAUGGCUCUUCUAGUUGGAAUGAGCACAGAGUAAACAAUUUAGCGAGGACCAAUAGGAGGGCAAGCCAAGUGCCAGCAGCCGCGGUAAUACUUACUCCUAGGGUGUUUGUUCACAGUGCUGCAGUUAAAAAGUUCGUAGUCGGACCUAUGAGCUGGGCGACGGUGUGGGCGCAAGCCUGUGGNNNNNCCCGGCUCUUUUGGGGAAGUUGCAGAGGAAGCAGGUUUUAAUCCCCUUUGCCUACGAAGAGCCCGCUGCAGACUGUGAGAGAAUGAGAGUGUUCAGAGCAGGCAAUAUAGCCGUGAAUGCCAUAGCAUGGAAUUAUAGAAUAGGUCCGUGGAUCCUUCAUAGCUGGUUAUUCAGGUGUCGGGCNAUGAUUANGAUNGAUNGUAUUUGCAUUAAGNNNNNAGAGGUGAAAUUCUUAGAUUGACGUAAGAUAAACUGUUGCGAAAGCGUCUGCAAAGACAUUUUCAUUGAUCAAGAACGAAAGUAAGGGGAUCGAAGACGAUCAGAUACCGUCGUAGUCUUUACUAUAAACGAUAAGAACUGGGGAUCGGAGAAAGUGCUUAUAUUAUGGCUUCUCCGGCACCCUCCCGGGAAACCAAAGUGUUUGCUUUCUGGGGGGAGUAUGGUCGCAAGGCUGAAACUUAAAGAAAUUGACGGAAGGGCAUCACCGGGUGUGGAGCCUGCGGCUUAAUUUGACUCAACACGGGAAAACUUACCAGGUCCAGACAUAGGAAGGAUUGACAGAUUGAGAGCUCUUUCUUGAUUCUAUGGUUGGUGGUGCAUGGCCGUUCUUAGUUGGUGGAGUGAUUUGUCUGGUUAAUUCCGUUAACGAGCGAGACCUGGGCGUGGUAGCUAGGGGGCCGAUGCUAUUUUGGAAUCGGUUUCUUCCCCCCCUUCCUACACGGACUGCUGACGAUUUAGCCAGCGGAAGUCCCAGGCAAUAACAGGUCUGUGAUGCCCUUUGAUGUUCUGGGCCGCACGCGCGCUACAAUGAGUGGAUCAACGGGCUAGGAUAAUCGAAAGGUUUUCCCGACCCUUAAAAUCUCUCUUGCCGGGGAUGGAGGCUUGCAAUUGUCCAGUCCUGAACGAGGAAUACCUUGUAAGCGCGGGUCAUCAACUCGCGUUGAAUACUUCCCUGCCCUUUGUACACACCGUCCGUCGCUCCUACCGAUCGUG